rnacentral:rRNA from 1 species
GACGAACGCUGGCGGCGUGCUUAACACAUGCAAGUCGAACGGAAAGGCCCUGCUUUUGUGGGGUGCUCGAGUGGCGAACGGGUGAGUAACACGUGAGUAACCUGCCCUUGACUUUGGGAUAACUUCAGGAAACUGGGGCUAAUACCGGAUAGGAGCUCCUGCUGCAUGGUGGGGGUUGGAAAGUUUCGGCGGUUGGGGAUGGACUCGCGGCUUAUCAGCUUGUUGGUGGGGUAGUGGCUUACCAAGGCUUUGACGGGUAGACGGCCUGAGAGGGUGACCGGCCACAUUGGGACUGAGAUACGGCCCAGACUCCUACGGGAGGCAGCAGUGGGGAAUAUUGCACAAUGGGCGGAAGCCUGAUGCAGCAACGCCGUGUGCGGGAUGACGGCCUUCGGGUUGUAAACCGCUUUCGCCUGUGACGAAGCGUGAGUGACGGUAAUGGGUAAAGAAGCACCGGCUAACUACGUG